rnacentral:tRNA from 1 species
GCCUGGGUGGCUCAGUUGGUUAAGCAUCUGACUUUGGCUCAGGUCAUGAUCUCGUGGUUCACGGGUUUGAGCCCCGUGUUGGGCU